rnacentral:rRNA from 1 species
AGUGAACGCUGGCGGUAGGCCUAACACAUGCAAGUCGAACGGCAGCACAGUAAGAGCUUGCUCUUACGGGUGGCGAGUGGCGGACGGGUGAGGAAUACAUCGGAAUCUACUUUUUCGUGGGGGAUAACGUAGGGAAACUUACGCUAAUACCGCAUACGACCUACGGGUGAAAGCAGGGGAUCUUCGGACCUUGCGCGAUUGAAUGAGCCGAUGUCGGAUUAGCUAGUUGGCGGGGUAAAGGCCCACCAAGGCGACGAUCCGUAGCUGGUCUGAGAGGAUGAUCAGCCACACUGGAACUGAGACACGGUCCAGACUCCUACGGGAGGCAGCAGUGGGGAAUAUUGGACAAAAGGCGCAAGCCUGAUCCAGCCAUACCGCGUGGGUGAAGAAGGCCUUCGGGUUGUAAAGCCCUUUUGUUGGGAAAGAAAAGCAGCAGGUUUAUACCCCGCUGUUCUGACGGUACCCAAAGAAUAAGCACCGGCUAACUUCGUG